CACUCCUGCGGGAGGCAGCAGUGGGGAAUUUUGGACAAUGGGCGAAAGCCUGAUCCAGCCAUGCCGCGUGCAGGAUGAAGGCCUUCGGGUUGUAAACUGCUUUUGUACGGAACGAAACGGCCUUUUCUAAUAAAGAGGGCUAAUGACGGUACCGUAAGAAUAAGCACCGGCUAACUACGUGCCAGCAGCCGCGGUAAUACGUAGGGUGCAAGCGUUAAUCGGAAUUACUGGGCGUAAAGCGUGCGCAGGCGGUUAUGUAAGACAGUUGUGAAAUCCCCGGGCUCAACCUGGGAACUGCAUCUGUGACUGCAUAGCUAGAGUACGGUAGAGGGGGAUGGAAUUCCGCGUGUAGCAGUGAAAUGCGUAGAUAUGCGGAGGAACACCGAUGGCGAAGGCAAUCCCCUGGACCUGUACUGACGCUCAUGCACGAAAGCGUGGGGGGCAAACAGGAUUAGAUACCCCAGUAGUCCCAUG
rnacentral:rRNA from 1 species